rnacentral:rRNA from 1 species
CACCUUUUGACAUGCCUGGACCGCUGGAGAGAUCCAGUUUUCCCUUCGGGGACCAGGACACAGGUGCUGCAUGGCUGUCGUCAGCUCGUGUCGUGAGAUGUUGGGUUAAGUCCCGCAACGAGCGCAACCCUCGCCUUUAGUUGCCAUCAUUAAGUUGGGCACUCUAAAGGGACCGCCGGUGGUAAGCCGGAGGAAGGUGGGGAUGACGUCAAGUCCUCAUGGCCCUUACAGGGUGGGCUACACACGUGCUACAAUGGCGACUACAGAGGGCUGCAAACCAGCGAUGGUGAGCCAAUCCCAAAAAGUCGUCUCAGUUCGGAUUGUUCUCUGCAACUCGAGAGCAUGAAGUCGGAAUCGCUAGUAAUCGCGGAUCAGCAUGCCGCGGUGAAUA